CGGGUGGCGAGUGGCGAACGGGUGAGUAACGCGUAGGAAUAUGCCUUAAAGAGGGGGACAACUUGGGGAAACUCAAGCUAAUACCGCAUAAUCUCUUAGGAGAAAAGCUGGGGAUCGCAAGACCUGGCGCUUUAAGAUUAGCCUGCGUCCGAUUAGCUAGUUGGUAGGGUAAAGGCCUACCAAGGCGACGAUCGGUAGCUGGUCUGAGAGGAUGGCCAGCCACACUGGAACUGAGACACGGUCCAGACUCC
rnacentral:rRNA from 1 species